GAUGAACGCUGGCGGCGUGCCUAAUACAUGCAAGUCGAGCGAACAGACGAGGAGCUUGCUCCUCUGACGUUAGCGGCGGACGGGUGAGUAACACGUGGAUAACCUACCUAUAAGACUGGGAUAACUUCGGGAAACCGGAGCUAAUACCGGAUAAUAUAUUGAACCGCAUGGUUCAAUAGUGAAAGACGGUUUUGCUGUCACUUAUAGAUGGAUCCGCGCCGCAUUAGCUAGUUGGUAAGGUAACGGCUUACAAAGGGGACGAUGAGUAGCCGACCUGUGAGGGUGAUCGGCCACACGGGAACGGAGACACGGUCCAGACUCCUACGGGAGGCGGCAGUAGGGAAUCUUCCGCAAUGGGCGAAAGCCUGACGGAGCAACGCCGCGUGAGUGAUGAAGGUCUUCGGAUCGUAAAACUCUGUUAUUAGGGAAGAGCAAAUGUGUAAGUAACUAUGCACGUCUUGACGGUACCUAAUCAGAAAGCCACGGCUAACUACGUG
rnacentral:rRNA from 1 species